rfam:Schistosoma curassoni strain Dakar, Senegal genome assembly, scaffold: SCTD_contig0000779
GUACUACUGAAGAGUCCCAUAUAAGGACGAAACGGCCGUCCAAUGC